rnacentral:rRNA from 1 species
GAUGAGCUCAUUUGUGAGAGUUUGAUCCUGGCUCAGGGUGAACGCUGGCGGCGUGGAUAAGGCAUGCAAGUCGAACGGAAUUAAUUUGCGAUUAUAUCAAUGAUUAAUUUAGUGGCGAACGAGUUAGUAACACCUUGGUACGUACCCCAAAGUCAGGCACAACCAGCCGAAAGGUUGGCUAAUACCUGAUAGUCUCGUGAGAGUAAAGCAGCAAUGCGCUUUGGGAGCGGCCUAGGUCCUAUCAGCUUGUUGGUGAGGUAACGGCUCACCAAGGCUAUGACGGGUAGGGGGUGUGAGAGCAUGGCCCCCAACGAUGGAACUGAGACACGGUCCUUACACCUACGGGUGGCUGCAGUCGAGAAUCUUCGACAAUGGGCGAAAGCCUGAUCGAGCGACGCCGCGUGGAGGAUGAAGCCCUUCGGGGUGUAAACUCCUUUUCACUGGGAGGAACUUUUGUGACUGUACCAGUGGAAUAAGAGGGUCCUAAUUCUGUGCCAGCAGGAGCGGUAAGACAGAACCCUCAAGCGUUACCCGGAAUUAUUGGGCGUAAAGCGUCCGUAGGUGGUUUGAUUAGUCUCCUGUUAAAGCUCGGGGCUCAACCCCGAAAGAGCGGGGGAAACGGUCAAACUUUGAGGGCGGCAGAGGUUACUGGAACGGUCGGUGUAGGGGUGAAAUCCGUUGAUAUCGACCGGAACGCCAAAGGUGAAGACAUGUAACUGGGCCGACCCUGACACUCAGUGGACGAAAGCGUGGGGAGCAAAAAGGAUUAGAUACCCUUGUAGUCCACGCUGUAAACGUUGAUCACUAGCUGUCUGAAGUAUCGACCCUUCAGGUGGCGAAGCUAACGCGUUAAGUGAUCCGCCUGGGGAGUACGGCCGCAAGGCUAAAACUCAAAGGAAUAGACGGGGACUCGCACAAGCGGUGGAGCAUGUGGUUCAAUUCGACAGUAAGCGAGGAACCUUACCAGGGCUUGACAUGACAGCGAAACAGAGCCGAAAGGUUUUGUGUCUCACAAGGACGCUGUCACAGGUGCUGCAUGGUUGUCGUCAGCUCGUGGCGUGAGCCGUUCCCUUAAGUGGGGAAACGAGCGCAACCCCUACUGUGUGUUAUACAUGUCACACAGAACUGCCCACGUUCAGUGGGAGGAAGGCGGGGAUGACGUCAAAUCCGCAUGGCCCUUAUGCCCUGGGCGACACACGUGCUACAAUGGGACCGACAACGCGUCGCGAAGCCGUAAGGCGGAGCCAAUCGCAUCAAACGGUCUCUCAGUUCGGAUUGAGGUCUGCAACUCGACCUCAUGAAGCUGGAAUCGCUAGUAAUCGCGGAUCAGCCAUGCCGCGGUGAAUACGUUCUCGAGUCUUGUACUCACCGCCCGUCACGUCAAGGGAGCCGGGAAUGCCCCAAGCUCAUGCUUUGCAUGGUCCAAGGCAGGCUCGGUGACAGGGACGAAGUCGUAACAAGGCACCGGUAGCGGAAGCUGUCGGUGGAUCA